rnacentral:lncRNA from 1 species
AACUCUGUCUGGUUUAGUGCUUCUGAUGAUGCUGGAUGAGAUGUUGUGUUCUUUGUGUUGAUCAUCACAGAGAUCAAAAUGGCUCCUGGAUCUUGUGCUGGUCUCACUGAAAAUUGCUCUGCCAAGAAUGCAGACCAUGGCAGGUUUCACGUGACAUUCAACCCACAGAGAAAGACAAAACAAAGAGCUUCUUGACUUAUUGGUGCUAUCACCUCUUAUGAAGCAGUAAAUUGCUGCAUAGACCAGAUGAUAAGGAAGUGCAUCUAAGACAUAGGAACCAGCCAAGUAUAAAGGUCUCCUUUCUUGUCAAAGAUCCAAGAAGGCCUGGCAUCUGCUUCAAUAUCCAAAGCAAAGGACUUCCUAUGGACACAGAUGUCAAGCAGUAGAUCUUCAAUGGUAUCUUAGUAGCUAGAGGCAAUGCAUCUGUCUGCUGACUUUUAGUUGCUGCUUUUGCUAAUAUACCUGUUAGCUCCAGCUCUGAAGUAAAGCAGCCUGAAUUGCCUGGCACACUUGGCACAGGAGCUUCUCCAGCUGAGGUUUCUGCCAAGGGGAGACAAGAGAUCAACUCGCACCAGAGGGAGGUCACAGGUGAGCUGGGAAGAGGGGGAGGAGUGAUGCCUUUCUUGGGUUGACAUGGGCUGCUUUGGGGUGGCUGCCUUAAUCAGCAAGGGUGUUAGUGGGUAGGUAGGCACGUGCUCUUUGCU